UCGAAUUCCGUAUCGGAUGGGUAAUAAUCCUUGCAGCAGCAAUCGAUUACGCAUGAUUUACAACGUCCUUUUGCAAAAGGAGAACUUCUCCGUUUGUUUGUGUUUGUGUGUGUGUGUUUGUGUUGGGCAGUUUAACCGAGCGUGUAAACCAAAGUAGGCCAGGCCAGAAGUAGGAGAAAAAUCCAAACCCCCUUUGGGAAGCGGGCUACAGCAUUGAAUAUGUUGCACCAUAUAAACUUAAUGCUUACAUAACUAUAACGCCACAAACGUUCCCGAUACACAAUCACAUCGAUUUGCCUGCCUGCCUUGCCUGUCGCACGCUUCUCGCUUGCUCCACGGCUUGCUGCGAUUCUUUACGCACGCUCACACAUCCAAUCCACAGAGCGUGCUUGGGGGAGGGAAAGGCGCGUCCGGGUACAUCUCUCCCUAUCUGCGAUAUGAACAUGGGCAAGCAAUUCUCCACUCCCGGCGGGCGGGCCAAUCGGCCAACAGCACAGAUUGCAAACAUUACAUGCUUUGCUGCUGCUACUGCUGCUGCUGUACUACACAUGCUCCAAAUCAAAUUCCAUCCAGGCGCGCUUUACAUGUUUGAACUGUGGAUUCGAGAUACCAAUCCAGGGGAUGGUGGUGUUGGUUUCCCAAUACCCUAAAACCUCAUUUCCCCCUUUUCCCUGCCCUGGGGGUGGAUCGAAAUCAUUCCACGUUGUUCCACCGAUUUAACCACCACUCUCUUGCGCAAACAUGCACGCAGCAACAACGGGCUGUUUGAGCGCAAACGAACGCACCGACAACACGCCGCCAGUGAUUGUGUGGUAGAAUGUCUUAAUCUAGUGCUUUUAAAAUGAUUUCAGUAGCAAAAUGUGGGGCAAAACAUUCCACAUCUAUCCUCAAACUAUUGUAGGAAGAAGCAGAAGAAGAAAAAACGCUCUCCAGGUGCUGAUAAUUGGGUAGCGUCGUGAUGCAGAGAAAGAAGCGUAAUUCAUAAAUGAGGAACAAGUCGUUAUAAAUCAAGCAAGAUUAAGUUACUUUUUAA